rnacentral:lncRNA from 10 species
AUGUAAGUGAAAUCAAAGAAGAUGAUUAAAAUAUCAGUGCCAAGGACAUAAGAAGACAGCACAUGAAGAUAUCUUCAAGAAGACAGCGUGGAAGAUGUAGCUUUGGUAAUUUAAAGAAAGUGGAAGACACAGAAACAGUUACGCGAUGGUGUCAACAACAGCUGUGCGCUCCUCCUAGGGACUUCGAAGACGAGCAGAUAUGAUGCCGAGAUAAGCUGUGUCUCCUCUUGUUCUGUGUGGCUCGGUUCUUUGGCUUCAGAAUUUUUGUUGUGAGUCUUUAC